rnacentral:rRNA from 1 species
GAUGAACGCUGGCGGCGUGCCUAAUACAUGCAAGUCGAGCGAACAGAUGAGGAGCUUGCUCCUCUGACGUUAGCGGCGGACGGGUGAGUAACACGUGGAUAACCUACCUAUAAGACUGGGAUAACUUCGGGAAACCGGAGCUAAUACCGGAUAAUAUAUUGAACCGCAUGGUUCAAUAGUGAAAGACGGUUUUGCUGUCACUUAUAGAUGGAUCCGCGCCGCAUUAGCUAGUUGGUAAGGUAACGGCUUACCAAGGCAACGAUGCGUAGCCGACCUGAGAGGAGGAUAGGCCACACGGGAACUGAGACAGGGUCCAGAGUACUACGGGAGGCAGCAGUAGGGAAGCUUCAGCAAUGGGCGAAAGCCUGAAGGAGCAACGCCGCGUGAGUGAUGAAGGUCUUCGGAUCGUAAAACUCUGUUAUUAGAGAAGAACAAAUGUGUAAGUAACUAUGCACGUCUUGACGGUACCUAAUCAGAAAGCCACGGCUAACUACGUG